rnacentral:rRNA from 1 species
UUCCGUAGGGUGACCUGCGGAGGGAUCAUUACCGAGUUUACAACUCCCAAACCCCUGUGAACAUACCAAUUGUUGCCUCGGCGGAUCAGCCCGCUCCCGGUAAAACGGGACGGCCCGCCAGAGGACCCCUAAACUCUGUUUCUAUAUGUAACUUCUGAGUAAAACCAUAAAUAAAUCAAAACUUUCAACAACGGAUCUCUUGGUUCUGGCAUCGAUGAAGAACGCAGCAAAAUGCGAUAAGUAAUGUGAAUUGCAGAAUUCAGUGAAUCAUCGAAUCUUUGAACGCACAUUGCGCCCGCCAGUAUUCUGGCGGGCAUGCCUGUUCGAGCGUCAUUUCAACCCUCAAGCCCCCGGGUUUGGUGUUGGGGAUCGGCGAGCCCUUGCGGCAAGCCGGCCCCGAAAUCUAGUGGCGGUCUCGCUGCAGCUUCCAUUGCGUAGUAGUAAAACCCUCGCAACUGGUACGCGGCGCGGCCAAGCCGUUAAACCCCCAACUUCUGAAUGUUGACCUCGGAUCAGGUAGGAAUACCCGCUGAACUUAAGCAUAUCAAUAAGGCGGAGGAA